rnacentral:rRNA from 1 species
UACGAAGGGGGCUAGCGUUGCUCGGAAUCACUGGGCGUAAAGGGUGCGUAGGCGGGUCUUUAAGUCAGGGGUGAAACCCUGGAGCUCAACUCCAGAACUGCCUUUGAUACUGAGGAUCUUGAGUCCGGGAGAGGUGAGUGGAACUGCGAGUGUAGAGGUGAAAUUCGUAGAUAUUCGCAAGAACACCAGUGGCGAAGGCGGCUCACUGGCCCGGUACUGACGCUGAGGCACGAAAGCGUGGGGAGCAAACAGG